UUUUAAAAGCCAAAAAUCCUUCCCAUGAAAUCAUUUCUUUUGCACCUGCUCUCCUUAUCUCUGAUCCACUUGGAGAAGUAAGUCCGUAAUUGCUGGCCUUGUUGUCCUAACUCUAAUCUCUCUGAUCUUGACAGACAUUCAUCUUCCCCAAUUCCCUCGGUCUGCACUUUUGGCAGGUUCCCAUGGAAAUGGCCUUCGCUGUUCUCCUGGGAAUAGCCAGGAGAUUCCAAAACAUUUCUCUCUGGGUCCUCUGAAUCUCUCCCAGCAUCACCUACCUCAUCUUCUGAACACUCAGAAUCUGACCAGGCCACAACAUUGUUGCAGAGUGAAGAACUAUAGCAUAAAGCUGCAACCAAAACAGGGGGCACCUUGAACAGUGAUCUUUGCUGUGAAAAAAGAGCAUACAACAAAUUCUCAAAUAUCCUGUUUAUCAAUAACGUGUUGGAGUGUAAGAGUUGUUCAAUCUGUGCUUGGAAGAAAUGGUAAAUAAAAUAUUUUUAAUGAAAGGGAUUGUGAA